UUCCUCUACCUUAUGCUACUUGGUUGAGUAAGUUUUUCUGAGGAGGCAAGAAUUGAGAUUGCUGUAGACCUGCGUGGAUUCGCUGCUGCUAAUGAUACCAUGCUGGGCAUUCUGCUCAAUGCUGGGGAUCCAGUGCUGAGCAUAACAGAGGUAUUCAUUACCCUCUGGGAGCACACCUGUUGGUGGAAGGCCAGACAUGAAGACUUAUAAAAAUAAUUCAAGCUUUAGUAAUUACCGUGAAAGAAGACAUGGUGCUCUGAGAAUAUACAAAAUAUAAAUAUAACUUGCUCUGAAAAUGUGUUCCUACAUAUUUGACAUUUGAAUAGAUUUCUUAACAGAUGCAUAAAAAUUAACUAGACAAGGUAGGUAUAGGUGGGGAAGAAGGGAUGUAUGAAUAUUCAUACAGGGCUUCAAGAAGAAAUAACAGUGGGGCAGGGAUUCAGAAAUGUGAAGUAGAGAGUGGUGCAGAGUAAAGCUGCUCAGGUCAGCAGAUGACGUUUGCAUGGCUCAUCUGUUGCAGGGGAUUAUGACAAAAAUUCAAGCUCAUAGAUCACACAAAGCCCAUUAAGAUGCUGAUCUAAUAUUCUUAGAGAUGAUUGCGUUGGAAGUGAGGGUAGGGGUGCUAUUCUUUCCAUGGCCCUGUAAAAUUGAUGGCCCAGGAAUAUUAGUCAGAACUGACUCUGACUGUAAGAUUUUGGUAAAUUAAAAAAAUAUUUAGCCAUUAUUGACAGCCUAUGAUCACCACAGGUAGCCUGCUGGGUGGAUCCAGUUACUUGUGAGAAAUCAAAGGCUGAUGACAGAUUGACUGUAUUUUUUUCAGCUUUUGGAUCAGACCCAGGACAGGGAAGUUUUGAGCAGCUGGGGAUUGGGAAAAUCUGGGCCAUAGGAUGCGAAUGGAAGGCUGACUCUAGACAGCCUGCUGAGGGUAAUGGUGGUGGGGCAAGAAUGUAAGGGCUGUUGGAGACAUUUGCAUCUUAUCUGUGAUGCAAAUUGAUCUAUUUUCUCUUCCUUUUGCCUCAUGCCCUCACAAUAUUUACCAGAUCCUGAAAGUUCUGAACCAGAGAUCUUCUCAGAUACAAGAAAUGAGGGUAUAUAUCCAAAGGAACUGAAAUCAGUGUGUUGAAGAGAUACCUGCACCCCAUGCUCACUGCAGCAUAAUUCACAGGGAACAAUCUAAGUGACCAUCAACAGAUGAGUGAGUAUAGAGCAUGUGGUAUAUUUUACUUAAAAUAACUUCUUCAGUGAUUUUCUCUUAGCUUUUUGAAGCAAGAAUCUGUAACUUCUAUUAUAGGAUAAUCCAAGCCACUGCCAAUAAAAUAAUCAAAAAACAA
rnacentral:lncRNA from 1 species